rnacentral:lncRNA from 1 species
GUCACUGUGUGUGGCUUUAUUUGUACAUGUUGCUAGAAGGUUCUUAAGGAGCGUACACUCAUUAUUUUAAUACCAGAAAAGAACCUUCCAGUGAGCACCUUUGGCUCUGGUUGGUGCUUCUGUAUUAUUUAUGCUAUAGCUAAUCUGAGUGGGGAAAUGAAUGUAUGCCCAGCUACAUACAGUCACACUCGAUGACACCGUAAUUCUGUCUUGGGAAUUCAUAAUUUACUCAGGUCACCAAGGUAGUUCACUCCAGUGUGGAAUGUUUACCCAAAUGUUGAGCUCUGGGCUCCAGUGCCAGCGGAUAUCAGAACUGAGAAUGGAUUCACUUUUACCAUGUGGAAUGUAACGGAGUGAUGAUGUGUCACUGUGAGCCUUGGUCAGAGAAGCAUGUGGUCUCUUCCUGGUCCUCCACUCAGAAUGACUCACCAGACAGCAGCCAUGUUUGUAGGACUCACAGGCUCCCUGAGGCAUGAAGCCCUUCUGCACAGUUCAGAAGUGAGUCAUAGUGCCUGUGGAUUCUCCAGUCCUUUUGUGGAUUGCUUUCUCAUUGGACAUUUUCUUCAUGAGACUUCCUGGAACAUUCUACCCAGUUUAGCUGCUCUGGGUCUCCGGAAUGUAAGGAACUGAGAUAAUAAAAUGUCAUUGUUUUAA